rnacentral:lncRNA from 1 species
GACCUUAGAAGUUUCUGUGGUCGCAGUUUUAGAAGACACAGCCUGUGGCUGUUGCCAACCUGUGCCGGCCAAGGACAGGAGCUAAAGAGCUGGCUUCGGUGGCAGAAAAAGCAGAUGCUGCAAGAGGAGGAUUUUAGACAGCCACUAAAGCACUUCUGCAUCCUUUUUGUCUGGAUGAUAAAAUCUAAGCAAACCCUUCAGACAGACAUCAACAACCAGCUGGAAGAGCAGAGUAAAUGGGAGCUAGGAUACCUCAUUGUCAGCAUGAGCAAUUACAUUUGAUGAAUAUAUUUUUUGCUUGAAAAAUCUGUAGAAGAAACAGACUGCUCUUUUGGAAAUGCAUGACGAUUCACUGUUUAAUAAGUUCCAGUUAAACUUAAUUAGGAGGCAACUGCAAAGAACAGGAAGUACAAUCUCAUCCAGCAAAAUGGGUUUAUCAAAGCUCAAAUUGUCACGGUAAUCAGCAGCAAGUGGCUUUGUUUCUGAAGUUGGUUACUUCAUCGCUAUGCAUCAAUCAAUCAGAACAGCAGAACUAGCAUAAACCAGCUUCAGCUGCUUGAUGUUAAUGCCUGAAGGGAAGUGAGAUGCACAGCGCGUAUGCAUGCAGAACUGGUGGCAGUGAAUACAGCACAAGUCAAAACUUCAUACUACUGAGCUGAAAACUGUUAACGACGACAAAGUAAUUUCCCACAGUUCAGGACUCAGUUGCUUGGAUGACUUACACCGUUUUAUCAUUCUGGCUGUAGAAUGUGUAGGCAGACUUUCAGAGGUGCAAAGCACAGAGGCACUGUAUGCUGAGAUGGUUCAAUACAAGCAAAGACUGAUUCUAAAUACAGAGAAAAAAUUAGAUGUUGAGGUAUGUGUUCAAGCUACUUUUCUGCUGUAGAGCUCAAGAAGACUAUUUUGUUUUCUUCAGUGCAAUGGAAUAGUUUGGUACAGAGGUGAUAUUUUCCAGCAACAGAAGGGCAAAAUUUACCAGACUCACUGUAGUACUGGAUCUUCUUUUACCAUAAAGACACUUCUGUUCACAUUGAAAAGUGUUACUGCCUGUAUGAGUAAGUGGCCCAAAUACAGACCUUGUGGAAGCCUUAGAAGCAUGUAAGCCAUAAUUUGCAAAAUGGUGAAAAAGGAGCAUAAGUGGCUGACUUUAGCCUCACUGGUGGCCAACAGCCAGGAAAAGAGGAAAAUAGUGCUUGCUAAUGGAAAAUGAGUCUUCUUUACUAUGUGAAAACAAGGAGUAUUGGAUAAUUUCCCUCAGAGGCACUUAAGACAAGAACAGGAUCCUGGUUUCCCUGUUUCUGGGAUAAAUGAUAUGUUUGAUCCUACUGACGGAAGGGUAAGAUCACUGAAGUUCUACUUUAUUUCUUUUUCUUUUGUUAAAAUACACUCAAAAAGAAAGUAUACGUGGCAUUUUUUAAUCUAAAUUUUGUUUCAUUUUUCACUUUUCUCUCAGGCUUUCUGUUUUACUUUCUUCUGCAGUGCUUCUUAUCCUGCUUUUAUUGUAUGACUCUGUGUUUGCAUAUGGAGAAAUGUUAAGGGAAAUAGCUGCAUUUACUUUUCAGUCUGGAUUGUUUUUAAAACUUGAACAGUCAUAGUUGUCUGAGCGUGUUGUCUUUUCAAUGGAAUAUUUUUGAAAUAAUAAAAGUAAUGUGGUGGAGAUCAAGUUGUAAUAAAAAGUUCUUGUUCUGCCUUCUUGUUUUGAUUGAAACCAGUGAGCUGAAGUUGCUGACUUAGUUAGAAGGCUGAAAAAUUCAUACUCCAAGAUUUUGUAACUGGAACAGCCCUUCCAAAAAACUGAAUUAAUUCACUACAUAGUAAUCCCUUUUACACGAUUAUUUUAUAAAAUAAGAAUUAUAUUGUAAAUAAUGAUAAAAUUAUAGUGAAAACUUCCUAAUUUCUUAGUCUAAAAUUUAAAUAAUUUAAGAAUAUUGUAUACUAAGAAGUAGUGUCUGUAUCAGAAAUUCUAAGUUGUGGCUUGAGCCAGUGAUUGAGCACCUGGUGGAAAGGCAGGG